CACAACGUUAUAAAGGGCUUGUCUGGUGUCCAGCUUUUGCCUCAUGGCACAGGGCUUUUAGUUCCAGCAAAGCAACUGCUGGAGCUCAACGUGUCCCAGGAAAUGCCAGCUGCUAACCUCAAAGCCCUCCCCGCAAUCUCUGGCAUGUGGGGACUCUGGACUUACCCACUGGAAGCGACGUCGGAGCAAUGACAGAGAAGCGACGGGAGCCACAUGUUUAGACUAGGGAUUGUCUGAGGAGCCAAAAGAUUCUGGGGAUUCUCCCCUCUGAGGACCAUCGUAGGACCUCUCGAAAUCAGCUCCGUAAUCUGAACAACAUGCCAAAGGGGGAUGCACUGGAGGAUCCCUUCCCCUGUCUUGCUUGGCUUUGUCCCCUCUUGCCUGGCUGCUGCAGAACCUGACCACUGGCUUAGCUUGGGCCACGUCAUUAACGUCUGGCGAUGUGGAUGCUCCUCUGCCUGCUCCAGAAGUAGACCCUCGCUUCGUCCUGGAUCCGAUGGCCUGUCUCUGAGAUAAGCCAGGAUCUGUCAGAAGCAAGGGCAAAGAUCCAAUUACAAGUCUAAUUUGUAUCAAAUGAUUUUAAUAAGUAUUAGAAGGAGUGUAGAUUUUCAUCAGAAAAUUUUCACAGAAAAGGGAUUAUAAGAACAAACAAAACAAAACAAAAAAGCAGGAAAUGGGGAGGCGUGCUGGGGUGUGGGGAGACAACUGAAGGGGUCCCACCACACACCUUUCCUCCCCACCCCACACCUCCCUACCUCCAGGUAACUCCCCUCCCAAUUGAGGUAAAAUGAUUUCUUCUGCGCAGCUUAAU